rnacentral:rRNA from 1 species
GACGGAGGAUGCAAGUGUUAUCCGGAAUCACUGGGCGUAAAGCGUCUGUAGGUGGUUCGAAAAGUCUACUGUUAAAAAUUGAAGCUUAACUUCAAAGAUGCCGUAGAAACUUUUAAACUUGAGUAUGGUAGGGGUAGAGGGAAUUUCCAGUGGAGCGGUGAAAUGCGUAGAUAUUGGAAAGACCACCAAUGGCGAAGGCACUCUACUGGGCCAUUACUGACACUGAGAGACGAAAGCUAGGGGAGCAAAUGGG